rnacentral:rRNA from 1 species
UACGUAGGGGGCAAGCGUUGUCCGGAAUCAUUGGGCGUAAAGAGCGUGUAGGCGGCUCGGUAAGUCCGCUGUGAAAGUCCAGGGCUCAACCCUGGAAUGCCGGUGGAAACUGUCGAGCUAGAGUCCGGAAGAGGCGAGUGGAAUUCCUGGUGUAGCGGUGAAAUGCGCAGAUAUCAGGAGGAACAUCAAUGGCGAAGGCAGCUCGCUGGGACGGUACUGACGCUGAGACGCGAAAGCGUGGGGAGCAAACAGG